GUAGGCUACAAGUCAGUCCUGUCUCCUCGCGUAAUCUGAUAUGACCACAGCUGCUGCUGCCAGGGAAUGUUUCCCACGUCCCUCAGCUGUAGGGCUGCUCAAACUGCACCUGAGCAGCAAAUGUCUGAGUUCUCACCCAGUUACUUAGAGGAACCUAGAGGUUGUGAGAGCUUAGAUCUGUACAGUUACUCUGUGCGUGUCCCAGCUCCCUGAUGGGACUGAGAUGUCUGAAGUGGUUUCAGCUCGGUGGAAAUGAAGCGUGAAAACAUGAAAAUGAAAAACAAAAAGUGAAGCUCUUCUACAUCUGUGAAUGGUUACCUUCCGUGGUCCCCAGAGGAACUGCAAUCAAGCAGUUAUGGUGUGAAAGGUGAGGUACAUGAAAAUAGCAUACUGCGUUAGAAUAUGACUCUGAACCAAAUUCUGAAGCCAAGGAACAAAUUUUGGGACAGCUAUGAGAAAACAAUGUGAGACAAGAUAACCAGAAAUAAAGAUCACCUAAGCAAAGCACAGAGGAAAAGUUUUUAGCAAAAUGAAAACUCCUUUGGAUAUUGGCAAAUGCAGUUUAAAAAGCAUGAAGAAGAAAUACUACGCUUACAGCAGGACUUCACGAUAUAAUCCCAUGUGAGACACUCUGAUUUAAAUUAUUUAAUAGCUACCCUAUGUUGGACAUUUUAAUAGAAGUGCUAUAGUCUGGAUGUUGAGUAUGUUACCAUUUCUUCUCCUUUCUAUAUAAUCCAUUCAAUAUGAUAUAUGUUGGUUGUAAGUAUCUUAAUAUCUUUAUACCCAUGGAAAAACUUCCAUAAGGAUGAUUGAUCUAAAAACUGAUAACCAUUUCAGUCCAAAGACAUAUUCAUUCCCUUCCCCCAUUAUAAAAGCCUUAAAUUAUCUUUCUUUACUAGUGUAACCGCAGUGACUCCCAUUGAAUUGGAGUAUCCUGUCUAAAAAGUAAUAAUUAAAUAGGAGAAAAAGGUGAACCCUUCUCACAUUGCACCCUAAAAAUGUCAAGAGAUAUUUCUGAACAGCUCAUAAUUGGUAUUCCACAUAUUUCCUAUGUCAAAAGUUUAUGACUAGCAUAAAGCUCUUCUGUAGUAGUUUUUUCCAGAACUUAAAUCACAGUUUUGAAGCAUAAUAGCAUAAAUACAAGAUCUGCUUUUUUACUAUUUGUUCUAUGCUUAUUUAUUAUAAGAUAAAUUAUGAGAAAAAUAAAUAAAAUGAUAUUCACAGAUACGCAAAAAGUCAGAAGGAAUUAUGCUCUUUAAGUCUUCUAAAAGUUUUCUUCUCAACAUGUAUCUGUUUUACUGGGGAAACAUUAAUGUAAUUUAUUCAUGCUGGGAGAAACCUGCAGCUCCAGGAUGCUGGACACCACCUCCCUAUCAGUAUCAAAAACCUCAUUAGAGAUUAAAGCAUGUACAUACACUUUCAGCUUUAAUAACAAUUAAAAAUAAAAUUAAUUGCUAAAUCAGGCUUUUCAGGAGGUGGAAGGCUGUACCACAACUCAGUCAUUUCUAUUUUAUGGGGGGGGGUUUGCUUUUUAAGUGAUUUAUCAGAGCAGCAUUUUCAGUUCACAUGAUGGAGUAGUGAUCUGUUGAGAUGUCCAUAGGUGGCCAUUUGUCAGACAGAAAAGCUCACCACUUUUUGCUACAAUAGUAAUUAUAUAUGGACUGAAAUUAUUCAAAUGCUUGAAAUACAGCAUUUUUGAAAUAUUGGUGAAGGAAUACUAAGAUUAUAGAGAACCCUCUAGAUGAUUUCCUUCUCUCUUUUCUGACCACUAUUCUUUUAUAUAAGGAAAUGUGAUUUCUUUUUCUAAAGUGAGUUAGUAAGAAAGUACUUGAUUGCAAGUUUUCAUAGUUUUCCAAGGGAUUUUACUUUCUGAAGCAUUUCCAUAAACUUGGAAUAAACUAAAAUUAGAAUUACUGUGUACUACAGGCAUUAUCCCCCUCAAAAAUCUUCUAAAUCAAUGUAUGUUUUGAUUUGUUCCUAUCCAGACUACUUUUUUUUUUUAAACAUUAUGCUAUAGGUCCAUGAAGGAAAACAUUGGCAAUUGCUCCCCAGGGUUAAUACAGUUCUUCAAAGAAGGAGUAGUUUAUUCCCAUAAGUACAGAGCUGACUCAAAUCCUGUAAAUGAUAAGCUGAAAAGAAGGAAACAUUUAACCUUGCAGAAGUAAUGUUUCAUUGCUCCAGCACCCAGAAAUUAUGCUGAGUAGUCUUGAGCUCCAUCUCCUGGCGCUUAUCAAGUAACUAAAAUAAUUUCCAAGUGUCUUCUAAUAUAUAUACUGACACAGAAUCACAGAAUGGCCUGGGUUGGAAGGGACCUCAAGGAUCAUGAAUCUCCAACCCCCCUGCUGGGCAAGGCCACCAACCUCCCCAUUUACUAGACCAGGUUGCCCAGGGCUUCAUCCAACCUGGCCUUGAACACCUGCAGGGACAGGGCAUCUACAACCUCUCUGGGCAGCCCAUUCCACUCCUGGUAAAGAACUUGAAACUUUACUCUCCUGGUAAAGAACACCUCAGAGCACCCAAGCUUUGUUGCAGGGGCAAUUACAAAAUCCCUCAUUCCACAGCAAUUCUGGUGUUAGGCUUGUGACGCCUGCGGACAGAGAAAUGCUUAUUCAUUGCAUGCUUUUCUGGGUCUCUCCAGCCCUGGAGGGUCCCUCUGUUCUCCAGCUCCUUCAGCAUGGGCUAGGAUGAAACAGCAUAAUCCAGCUUUUAGUGAAAAUCAUGUGAACUUGAGCAUAUUGCCCUACUCAGGAGUUUUUUUAGUAAGGUAAAAACUGAAAUUAUGUAAAAGCACUAUGGAAAAACAGAAUAAAAAUUGCAUGUUCUGAUACAUUUGUGCUGCUCUCCAAUUGUGAGUCAUGGAAAGAACUGUCAUUGGGGGUCAGAGCAUCAUAUAGAUAUUAACCAUAUGAAUUGCUCAGUUAAACUGGAAACUUUUCAUUUAUUUUUUCUGCAUAUAUAUAAAUAGGUAUGAAUGAGUGUGUGUGUAUAUAUAAUUACAUACACAAAUUUUACCAGAGAUGUUAAAAAGUGGUCGUUACUUCACAAAAUACAACACCCAAAGGAAAUACAGCUAGGAAACAAAAAGGAAACAGCUAGGUGUCCUAAAUGUACAGUAAACAAAUGAAUAUAAUACAUGAGAGAACAGAAAUCUGGGUUACGAUGCCAGUUUGGAUCUAUGCAGUAUAUAGUCACAAUGGGAGGGCAAUGAAUUUUGUCUGUGUAUCAGCCACAGAAAUAUUCAUAAUGGGAAAGACACCACUAAUAAUAUAUUCCAAGAAUAUUUCUGUAUGAAGAACAUUAACACCAUUAUGAAUGUUAAUUAUUUUAUUCGACUCUUAUUCUGUCAUUUUGCUGGUAAAGGCACCCAUUCUUAUCCUUCAUGUAUAAAUGUAUUCAUGAUAAAAAUUAAUAAGUCAACAUCCCAUCAUUUCUUGAGAUCAUUAUGAGUGUGUCACUCUGAAAGUAAUGCCUACUAUUUAUUUCCUUGAAAUAAGGAAAUAAAUAUGUUUAUGAAAAUCUGCAAGAUCAUCCAGAACGCAGUUUGUCUUUCAGGUCACUAUUGCCACACUGAAAUGCACCACCCACAGCCUCACGGUGCAUUACUUUUAGAGCAGACCUCAUAUGACUAAUUUAGAAUGUUUUCACUUUACUUAAGUAACAAAAAGUGAUAUUAUUUAGCCAAUCAAAAACACCAUGACUGAAUUACAUUGCUACCUCAGUUGGAUCAUUAAUUUCAUACGCUAGCUUCAUUGUACAUAAAUACAGGUUCUUUAUCAGCACUGUCAGCACAAGCAUAUUCAAUUUAAUAGUUAAGUUUACAGCUGAUCCAUUUUUACUUUAUUUCUUCAUCAUUUGAAGGCUAACAGGAUCACAGGGAAAUCUAAAUCUAUUUUAGAGAGAAGAACUCUCACAAAACAAAGAGCACAUACAAUAAAAGACAGCGAUUUUUUGGGAAUGAGUGGUAACUGUGAUCUGUGUUUAAGUAAAUCAUUUGUGCAUUUUUUUUUUAUAAGUGUCCAUUGUUCUCCUCAGUUCACCAGUACAAGUCUCAUUAAAUAUUUUUGUGAGUUUUAAUCUAUUUUUUGAUCUCCUAAUUGAGGCAAAGCCCUGAAUGGUUCAGCAGAGCUAACUAGAGAGCUCAUCCAGCUGCCUGCCCAGAAACAUGAAGGAGCACAGAUAAAAUAUGAUGGGGAGUAUGGGAGAAGAAAAUGAAAGAAUAGAAAAACAUUGAAGAAAUUUCACUUUUUUCUUCCAAGAAUAUAAGUAGUAUAUACUCACAUCUACUCUUUAAGUUUAAUCGCAUAUAGUCUCGAUCCUAAAAAGACAGACAAGAAUUUAUUUGGGACUAUGAACUGCCUUGUUUGUGAAUCAUUAUGCAGCAAAUUCCAGUAAUAUAUGUCCAUCCUCCCACAGGGAGCAGAAAAUACUAGAAAUCACUCGCAUUAUGUAUGGGGCAAUUCUCUUAGAAACUAUUAUUGCUACUCAAAUCAUUGCAGAUUCUUAUUACAAGGCACAUGCCUGAUCAAUAGCCUGCUUUUAUUAGUUCCCUUACCAACCUUGCAAUAUAUUAGACAUGACGGAUGGAACUUAACAGUUAGAACAGAAAUAAUGCAGAAAAUUUUCAAAGCAUUGGUUUAAGUGGGAAACUUCAAGUAGCUAUGCUUUUCUGCCCUUUUUUCUUGCAGCAGUCUAAAAAUAUUUUAACGACUUCUGCCCUUAAGUUCAGACUCUGUCAGCAUGAGUAGACACAAACACAUAAUAAUUCUUUAAGACCUGUUUGUAAUUUCACUGAAAUGUUUCUCUGGGCUUUUGCCUCUGUGACUCUAUAUGGAUCACACUCUUCCACAGUACCCACAAAUGAAAGGGACAGAGCAUAAUGGCUGGUCUGCAUCAGGCUUAUUACAAAGCCUGUAACUUUUUUUUUUGCCAAUAUAAUAUUUUAAUAAUAUAUAAAUGUUAUAAUUAUCACACAGCCUGUACCAUUUUUGCCUGUUGGUGCAGCCAUUAGAGAGUAAGAGGUUUCAGAUUCCCAGCUGGAGAUCUCCCACAGGAAUGCAAUCAGCUGGACCCAAACCUGAUUGCCUAAUAUAUUGAAAGAGAGAGAAAGGAAAGCAGAAGGGUGGUUCAGUUCUUUUGUAUAGGAAAGGUCUGCUGCUUGGAGUUAGCAUAAAGAGGAUAGAACACUAAAACUACAUAGUAGUCUUAGUGUGACACUGUAGAGCUUUUAUGUCUCUCAGAAAAUGCUUGUUGGGGUGGAUUUGUAUUAUCUUAAAUGAGUGGUAAACCUGAAAAUACACUGAGUUUUAAGAAUCAAAACAGUUCUGAGUCAAGCAUUCUGUAAGCUGCUCAACCUUGCUUGCUGCUCUAACGUUGUACAUCAUUUCUAGAAAAUAUGUGCUAAUGCUUACAGUCGUAGCUUGUACUUAUAGAUCCACUGAAAUCAUUACAAACAUGACCUUUUAAGUAUGAGCUAAUGCUUCAAAAACUCCAUCCUAAGACUUUUUAGGAAUUUGUGAUUCUCAAGCCUUGUAGUAAUGCCAAGGCAACACAAAACCAAACACAGUCCUGAGUGAAGCUAUAAUUACGCUGAAUUUAGGAUAAAAAAAAUUAGUUUCUUCAUUAUGAUCUAAAUCCUUAAGUGCACCACUUAUCCUUCUGAUGCUUACUUCUGUGUUGCAGAUUUUCAGCUUCAUAUCACUAUCAAUUUCAAUAGCAUGCUUUUACUUUGUGACAUAAUUAAUAGAAAUAUUGGCUGAAAUAGAAUGCAAGGUCAACCCCUUUACUAAUAACUUCUCUUCAACAUAAUUAUUCGCACUUCAUGUGACUUAUCAUUAGCUACAAGCUUACCUUUCUUCUAUUCUUGUGAUGUUUUUCAGCUUAAACCAUAGCGUCUCAUGAGAUACAUAUCAGUUCUACACAGGUCCCCAGACUAGUUCUUCUAACCAAGGAAAAUCAGUAGCAUGUUUUGCCACAGCUGUCCUUGGUGAAUCAGUGAUGUGCUUUAUUUCUUGAAUUUCGGUGACUUACAUUCUCUUACCCAUUCCUUCAAAACUACUUUAAAGCAUUUCAUUAUGGAAUACUGUGUUUGACUUCACCAAACACAGUUCAUGACUAACUAUGUAACUAGAGCUGGUUAGUACUCAUUUGUGCUAUGGUAAGUCCUACAAGUGCAGUCAUGCAUAACUAUCCAUCAUUUGACAGAACAGAAACACCCUCUGAGUUACAGUACUACUUUUAACAAACUCACUGUGAAAAUAUUAGCUUGUGGGAUUGGACUAAAUAACUAGAGUUACAAUCUUUAGCUGCUACCCACACUUUAGAACUAGCUGUUGCUUUUAAGCCUGUUCUUGUGCACCAUAGCACGUUAACAGAGCAUCUUUUUUUUUAAGAAACACCAACAUAACGUCCUUUUCAAAAAAAGUAGUAAUGUUUACUGCAAGCAGUGGCCUAGUAUAAAACAAGAUGGCUGACAAGGAAACUGCUGAACGAGACUAUGGCACAGCUGGCAAACUGUAUAACCAUAGGCAUGCUUCAGCUCUGAGGCCUUAGUUUCCCCACUGCUAUUGAACAGUGGGCAUGCAAAUAUUCAAGAUGUGCUUUGAGAUAAAUGUUAGUUAUUAAAGAAACUAUUACUGACUAUUCUAUUGGAGAAUAGUGGCUGGAUAUUUCCCAAAACCUUGAAGUGAAACUGAUCAGGAGAGGUCUCAAACCAGCCAUACAAAGAUGCAUGAUCAGUGAAUGCAGUUCAUGCACCCACUCAGCCAGGUUGGUGCCUUUCUUCUCCAGACAGUAUUUCCAAGUCUUUUCUUAGUUAAAAAGUCAGAUCUCCUUCAUUAAGUUGACCCAGAGUUUAGCAAACUAUAGCAGGACUCAGUCUCAGAUACAUCUGUAUCCAGGUAUUCCUAUUCAUGUAAGUAACUUUUAAGAUAUAAGCUUCCAGUGUUGUAUUCGGAGAAAACCAAGAGUUUCCACUAACUAUGCAGUAUCCUUGCAAGUUUAACAUGACAACUUUGUUGUGUUUUUUUCUUGUUCCUGUUAAAUUGGCCUUUUGAAGACUAAGGACUUGUGAGCUUUGCAUGUUAAAGGCUAAACUCUUGUUAUAGUGAACGUGAUAUUUUUUAAGGCUUGAGGGAGAUUGAAGCUAAAUUGAAAAGAAUGCCAUGAAGUCCUUGUGCAAGUCAUUCACCUUGUAGAGCUCUAGGCUGAGAGAGCUCAAAUGCCACUCUACAUAACAAGCUCAAAAACACUAAUUUAAAUAGCAAGUGCAAACUCCACUUGGGAGCCUCAGUGAGGCAUGUGUGGAUUGCACAGCCUAAACUCCUUAACAACAUUAUCUGAAGAAAAAAAAAAACAGAGUAAUUCCUUUUUUUAAAGUGGUAAUUCAGGGCCCAAGUCUCAAAAGCAUUUGAACAUUUCAAGGACUAUUACUAUACCAAAAUGUUCUUAACUACAAAUAAGAAAUUUUAAAAAAAAGAGACUGAGUACUUUUUUCAAAUUCAGAUUAUUAGCUUAAAGUCUCACAAGAAUAAUAAAACUAUGUAUGUAUAGUUUUGUCACUUCAGCCUUAGCAGAAAAUAUAGUAUAUGUGCUUUAAAUCUGAAAAGCUAAUGCUUGUAGACAGUGAUUUACAGGAUGGCAGAACACCAUCUUAGCAGCUCAGAAGGUAUGUGGAAGAACAAAUCUAUAGCUCCUAUGCCUAAUACUGAUCAAUUAAAAUAUUUGGAACUGUGUAACUGUUUAUGGGAGGAAAUUUCAAUGUGGACUAAUAAAUAGAAAGUAAAGUUCUUUAGUACAAAUCUUUAAGUUAAAUGUCACAGAAGUACAGCUACAUAUUUUUUCCUGAUUAUUAUAACUUUCUCAGCUAUGUUAAAAUGCUGUAGUUAAAACUCAACAGAAGUGUUCGCUGCUGAUAUGAACGUCUAUAUUCAAUACAUUUUUUGUAAUUUUAGAACAGAAAAUAUACUUUCAAAAAUAUGAAAGAAUAUUUGUUUGUUUUUCUGGUUUUUGUUGUUAUUGUUGUUUUUUUGCAAAAAGACAUUGCAUUUUGAAUGGAAGUAUUUCUUAUCAAUAAUGCUUUUUAAUUUAAAGGUAGAAGUAAAUAUAUUUUGCCCAAUCACCAAUGUUAAAGAUCAGUAUUUCACAGAAUAGGCAAGAUGCUAAUUCUGUUUCUUUAAAAUGAGGAAAACUACAUGUUGGAAUUAAAUUCUGUGUCUUUUAAGAGAAUAAAUUUUACAAAUCUCUCUUCUAAGUCCACUGAGCUCAAUAUUUCUCAACUUUUAACAGAUUGUCCUUCAUUUUGAGAAAGACUUUAACAUCCUUUUUUUAGAGCAGAGUGGUUCUUUUAUUCAAGAACUAGGUCAUAGAAAAUAAAAGAAUAGAGAUCAACAGCAGGAUCUUCAGAGCUACCUUAGUUCCUAUGAAGGUUUUUGGCAGUACUUAGGUUAAAAAGGCAUCUAAAUACUGUUUUCUAGAAUACCACUCAAUUAGAACUAGGCAUUUCCUAUUUAGCCAUUGCAAAGAUGAUAAUUUGUGCAAGAAAAAUGUGCAGAGGUAAUGCAAGUUUAUGGUUUAAAGUCCAAGCAAUAGGUAAAGCAUGAAAAGUCUGGUUUCAAAGCUGGUAUUCAGCUCCAAUAUCAUGCAUGUUUUCUCUUAAUUUUUCAAGCUACUUUCAAGUCAAGUCCCGCAAUUCAUAUACAGUCAAAGCUUCCAUUCAGUCAGUACAACUCUGUCCACUUGUAGGUGAAGCGCUGCACUUGUACUUCUAAGAAUUUAAUAUAGCUCUAAUGCUUCAUUAUUGGAUGCUUAUUUAAAUGUAUAUUAGUCUCAGCUGAUGAAUGCUAAAAACUGUUGAGUAAGAAGCUGUUUUUCUUUACAUUAGCACAUUUUUUUUUAACUGAAAGGUUCAAAGAGAUGCAUCUAAUUACAAUGCUUCUUUAAAAGUACUUAAGUAUUAUUAAAUAUCAUGUGAAACAACCUUAUGGACCUCCUGAAGCACUGCUAAAAUGCAAAAUUCUGUAUUUAUGCUAGCACUUACAAUGGAUGUCUUUUUAGUACUGAACAAAUCCUUACAAAAACUAUUUACUUUAUAAAGGAUAAAGCUAUUUCCUGCAAAACUGAGCAAGACUGAAGAACCUGUAAGCACAGAAAACAUAUGCCUCUGCACAGGGUGAGAUUACUGAUUGAAAAUUAAAAUAAGCAACACAUUUACAGACUAGCAGUUGAGAAUACUAUUGCUGGCAUUUAAGAGAAAAGCCUCUAUUAACACUAAAAGUAGAUGGCCUUUAAGUUGUGUAUUAGAGAAACAAAGACAAUUAUUGCUAGCUACAACAACACUAAUUUCACUUGUUAUUUAGCACCUUCAAAUACUUGCCCUCAAACUACUUUUCUUGGUCAUUAGAAAAUAUCACAGGUAUCUUGCUUGUGGUUUGGUGUGUUGCUCCCUGUUUUUUCAGGUUACUUGUUCCUCCAGAAUGUUCUUGCAUUGGCCUGCAGAGGACAGAAGCAGUGAAUAUCACUCAUCAGAAAUUCCUGCCAAGCUACAUACCUGACACCCAUGAAGAGAAUCAUCAUAAAAGGAUGGCCCCUCUGCUGCUGCUCUCCCCCCCGCCCCGAAGAGGUGUCUGCCAUCAGAUCCAUCACUACGAAAGGCCUGCAUGCUGACGGACUCUCCAGGGCCUGCUACAGGAGACCUGCUGCUUCUGCCCGGACAUCUUCCUGGACCUACUCAAUACCUGCACCUUCUCGCUGCCCAAAACCGACCACACUGCUGCUGCUCUUCCCCUGCGCUUUUGCCCCAGACCAUCGGAACAUCAUGCAAUGGGGCUACUGCUGGAUCCUGGUGGUGACUAUCCCCGCUUUACGCCAUUCUUGCUUCUUCCUAUCUUUUCUAUCGCUCACCUUCCCUUCCCCAUCACCCCAGUCUGUAACAGUGUCCGUCCUCCCCUUCCCCAUCUCCCUUAUUAAGAUUUGUAAUAAACUGGCCGGACC
ensembl:lncRNA